ensembl:lncRNA
GGAAACAAAUGAGAGCUGAGACGGAGCUGGUGGUAGACAAGGCAGGGAACAGCAGGAAUCCAGGGAGCACUGGUCCGCACAGUGUGUCCUGCAGUAACAAAGUGGAUGUGUGCAACACUGCCCCAUCCAAAACAGCAGGACUCGACAUCAUGUGGUGUAUUCGUGUGCAAGCUUGCAGAACAAAUUCUACAGAAAAGGAGAUACAGUAUCCUGUAGACCAGGAGGGCGUGGCCAGGCUAAGGCUCGACAUAGCAAUAUCAUUGCUGAAAGAUUCAGGUAAACCUGAGGAGAUUGAGUGCACCACCUGUGGGAGGUGGUACCAUAUGUCUUGUGUGGGGCAUCCACCUACAGAUGGGGACUACCACUGCAAUAGCUGCCAAUAAAUAUGUUAAAUCAAAAGGAAAUGCUGUCUUUUC